UUUUCUCGCAGUGGCUUGCUGGUGUCGGUGUCUCGCUCGCACUAGUGUAGCGAGUGUUCCUCGUGCGUUCCCUUUCUUGCUACCACACAAAAUCGUCAGUACAGUUCAAGCCUUCGCAGUGUGAGGCCGCGCGCGUUUUAGCCUAAGUCCCGGGCGCUCGAUUAUUCAACAUAAACAACAUACAGGCAGUAAGGCGGGUGCUUGAAGUGACGAUUUUUUUUUAUUAUUUAUAAUAAAAAAUGUGUGGCUUUGUGGCAAGAUUGUGGUAAGCGAUGUGUGGAACUGUGCCUUAAGUUUCAAUAAAGUGUAAAAAUAUCAAACGAG